rnacentral:rRNA from 1 species
GUAGGGAAUAUUGGGCAAUGGAUGCAAGUCUGACCCAGCCAUCCCGCGUGCCGGAAGAAGGCCCUCAGGGUUGUAAACGGCUUUUGACGGUGAAGAAUCGACAGGAUGCGUCCUGUUUUGACGGUAGCCGUUGAAUAAGCACCGGCUAACUCCGUGCCAGCAGCCGCGGUAAUACGGAGGGUGCGAGCGUUGUUCGGUUUUAUUGGGUUUAAAGGGUGCGUAGGCUGGAAGGUCAGUCAGCGGUGAAAAGCUAUCGCUUAACGAUAGUCUUGCCGCAGAUACUUCCUUUCGUGGAUGAGGAGGAGGCCACUGGAACGGAUGGUGUAGCGGUGAAAUGCAUAGAUAUCAUCCAGAACACCGAUUGUGAAGGCAGGUGGCUGUACCUUAAUCGACGCUGAUGCACGAAAGCAUGGGGAGCAAACAGGAUUAGAAACCCGAGUAGUCC